rnacentral:misc_RNA from 1 species
AAGUCGUAACAAGGUUUCCGUAGGUGAACCUGCGGAAGGAUCAUUAACACGUGAAAACGUAUUAAUUUACCUUGACCAACCCCCCGUGAAUUUCACAUCCCUAUUCAACUGACGCUGUACCAUAUGAUAUGUAGUAGGAUAUGAUUUCGGUCAUAUGCAAUUGUAUGGUUACUAAGGCUUCGAGCCUAAGGUGACUUUUGUUAGGCUUAUUUUUUUCCCCUACUACAAAAAACCAAACCAACCUAUUUCACCAAUUAACAACAUUUUGACUGAUGUACGUUGAUAGUACAGAAAUGUACUGGAUCAACACCACUUAUCUAAACUAAGCACAACUCUUAGCAAUGGAUAUCUUGGUUCUC